rnacentral:lncRNA from 1 species
CAGACGCAGCACGCAAGGGGCUUGGCCCGGAGCAGCUGGGCCCCGGGGAAGGUCCACACUCCGCAGAAGUGACCUUCGGGGAUGAUCCCCGGGGCCUGAUCUUCCACUGCCCCAGAAGGGGCACUUUGGUGAAGGUCCUCAUAGCAACAGACGCCACGCGCAGGCAUAGUCGUCUUUGUCAGCAAACAAAUCCACAGAAGCUGAGCCCGAAGGAACCCGCCUGAAAUCGGCAAUCUGCACCCAGAUGCUUCCUCUGCAUCAGGACCCGCUUGGCUCAUUUCCCCCCUGACUACUUGGAAGAGCCCCGAUUCGCCUCCAGGAGGA